UACGAAGGGGGCUAGCGUUGUUCGGAAUUACUGGGCGUAAAGCGCACGUAGGCGGACAUUUAAGUUGGAGGUGAAAGCCUUGGGCUCAACCCAAGAAUUGCCUUUGAUACUGGAUGUCUCGAGACCGGGAGAGGUGAGUGGAAUUCCGAGUGUAGAGGUGAAAUUCGUAGAUAUUCGGAGGAACACCAGUGGCGAAGGCGGCUCACUGGCUCGACACUGACGCUGAGGUGCGAAAGCGUGGGGAGCAAACAGG
rnacentral:rRNA from 1 species